rnacentral:rRNA from 1 species
UUGCACGCUGGCGGCAGGCCUAACACAUGCAAGUCGAGCGGAUGAAGGGAGCUUGCUCCUGGAUUCAGCGGCGGACGGGUGAGUAAUGCCUAGGAAUCUGCCUGGUAGUGGGGGAUAACGUCCGGAAACGGGCGCUAAUACCGCAUACGUCCUGAGGGAGAAAGUGGGGGAUCUUCGGACCUCACGCUAUCAGAUGAGCCUAGGUCGGAUUAGCUAGCUGGUGGGGUAAAGGCCUACCAAGGCGACGAUCCGUAACUGGUCUGAGAGGAUGAUCAGUCACACUGGAACUGAGACACGGUCCAGACUCCUACGGGAGGCAGCAGUGGGGAAUAUUGGACAAUGGGCGAAAGCCUGAUCCAGCCAUGCCGCGUGUGUGAAGAAGGUCUUCGGAUUGUAAAGCACUUUAAGUUGGGAGGAAGGGCAGUAAGUUAAUACCUUGCUGUUUUGACAUUACCAACAGAAUAAGCACCGGCUAACUUCGUG